GCUGAGCAUGUGAAAAUUACCCUGAAAUUUAGUGAUUCUUCUUCUGAUGUCAUGUCCCUGUAAAUAAGCCAUGGUAUCUUCUGUCUGGGAGGAUGUUUUAUGUCACCCAGGCUUGGAGGUUGCCUGGAAAUGUCAUAAUGCAAGAGGGUGAUUAUGCUGCUGAGGAGACUUCUCCAGAAGCUUCCUGGAAGAUGAUUCAUGGAGAGGAUACACAGCUACCUCCCUCUUCUCAUCAAUGACAGACCUGUAGCUUCCUAAGAACUGAAGGUAAAUGGUCAUAUAUCAAAGUACUAUAGUGUGGCUUUGUUUUCUUUUCCCAUGGUAGCCAGAAAAUGGGCUUGCUUUUCUGAUCUUUCAGAUUUAGCAUCCAAAUUCUGAAGUACUAAGAUUUCUAGGGUCAGUAUUAGAGUUAUCA
rnacentral:lncRNA from 1 species